GACGUAGGGCGCGAGCGUUGUCCGGAAUUAUUGGGCGUAAAGAGCUCGUAGGCGGCUUGUUGCGUCGACUGUGAAAACCCGUGGCUCAACCAUGUGGUCUGCGGUCGAUACGGGCAUCACUGGAGUUCGGCAGGGGAGACUGGAAUUCCUGGUGUAGCGGUGAAAUGCGCAGAUAUCAGGAGGAACACCGGUGGCGAAGGCGGGUCUCUGGACAGUUCCUGACACUGAGACACGAAGGCCAGGGGAGCAAACGGG
rnacentral:rRNA from 1 species